rnacentral:pre_miRNA from 1 species
UGUAGGGCAAUCUGACUUGAAGUACAAGUAAAUUACUCUUUAAAAAAGAAGACUUCUAGAUAGUUUUCCCUUUAAGUCAAGUGUCAUG